AACCUCCGCAAUGUGAGAAAUCGCGACGGGGGGAUCCCAAGUGCCAUUCUUAACGGGAUGGCUUUUCAUUAGUGUAAAGAGCUUUUGGAAUAAGGGCUGGGCAAGACCGGUGCCAGCCGCCGCGGUAACACCGGCAGCUCUAGUGGUAGCAGUUUUUAUUGGGCCUAAAGCGUCCGUAGCCGGUUUAAUAAGUCUCUGGUGAAAUCCUGUAGCUUAACUGUGGGAAUUGCUGGAGAUACUAUUAGACUUGAGACCGGGAGAGGUUAGAGGUACUCCCAGGGUAGAGGUGAAAUUCUGUAAUCCUGGGAGGACCGCCUGUUGCGAAGGCGUCUAACUGGAACGGUUCUGACGGUGAGGGACGAAAGUUAGGGGCGCGAACCGGAUUAGAUACCCGGGUAGUCCUAACUGUAAACGAUGCGGACUUGGUGUUGGGGUGGCUUUGAGCUGCUCCAGUGCCGAAGGGAGCUGUUAAGUCCGCCGCCUGGGAAGUACGGUCGCAAGACUGAAACUUAAAGGAAGU
rnacentral:rRNA from 1 species